AAAUCAUUAAAAAAAAUCCAACCAACUGAAAAACAAUAAUUAAAAAUAAUACCUGUAUAUUACUGCAUAAUAAUUAAAUGAAAUAAAACUUUACUACUGUUCGUAACAUUAAAAUUUUAAAGUGAUCCACUAAAAGCGAAUUAUUUUUUUUCCAUAAAUCUUCAAUUUCCCUCAAUAAACGACAACAAUCGUCAUCAUCAUCAUGAGGCUGUCAGAUCCCGGCAGGUGUUCGGUUCCCUCCGUUAAUCGUUUAGCUAUGAUCGGUGAUCGAUCCUGCGUGCGCAGCCCCGCCUCCCGCCGUGUUGUCUGACCGGAGGAUGAGGAGUCUUUAGGAGGCUAACAGCUAACGUCACGGAGCGGCGGCACCGGGAUCGUUUCUCUCGUUCCUUCAUGUUCUGACGUCGUCCAGCGGAGCCUUCGCCGUCACGAACCGGACCGGACUUCACAUGUCCGCGGCUGUGCGCUGCCGGCGGCCCGGGUAGCUCUGCCGGGAGAUGCGGCAGCAGCUAGCCGUUAGCCCCGCAGCUGUUAUGUAAGAGCGGAGCGACUAGCCGCGCAGCUAACGUUAGCCGCCGCCAUGAAUGACGCGCAGCAAGAAAUGUCUCCGGACUUCGUGCUCAUGCGGCUCGUGUCCGCCGCGGAGUACGACCGGCUGGACGACCCCGACGAGCUGAUGUCCGGGGGCGGCGGGUUCGGCCCCGUCAAAGCCGUGCUGGGCCGCCGCGGCGGCGGGUUCGAUGUGGACUCUGGCGGCCCUUCGGCAGGCCUCGGCUCGGCUUCCCCGCAUUACAGCUCCCCGCUGCCCGGGAAAGGAGAGCUGAGCGGCGGGCUGGGGCUGACGCACGCCCCGUCGGGCUCCGAGGCGCCGUUGUCGCCCCCUCCGUCCGAAGACUUUGUGGACUUGCCGGUGCCGCGUGGGCACGGCUCUGCGGGGCACGGAGCGCAGCUAAUGGUGCUCCAGAACUUGCUGCGGUCCGGAGACCGGAUCCUGGAGUGCGGGCUGGAGCAGCCGCCCCCUGGCUUCCUGCAGGAGGAGGCAGAGCGACAGAGACAGCAGCUGGACCCGGUGCCGGGCACGGGUCCUGGCAGCGCGACAGCUGGUCCCGGGGGAGGAAAGGACCAGAACCCCCCCGCACAGGAAAACCUGCAGCCGCAGCAGCUGUUGCAAUGGCACCCGGUCCUGAGGCUGGGCUCCCAGGCCCCCCAGCGGGGCGUCCCGGCUCUGGACUCGGAGUCCGGGUCAGUCCUGUGCCACACACACCACCUGCUGACAGACCGGCUGGCUAAGUGGCCCCCGGGCCUGCUGGACCAAGCCCUGCGGGCGGGGCUGCUGGAGCCCAGGAAGACCUGCCCCCCCAGGUGUCAAGACCCGGUCCUGGCUCCGGCCCAGAGGCCAGUACACCCGGGCGAGGUGAGGGAAGGAAGUGGCGGGCAGGAACUGGUGCUCUCGCUUCCUCGCUGUUCCUGCCAUGGCGUCCUGGCCUCGGGGUCCGGGGGCAUCGGGCCUGGCGAGGACCCCAGCGAGACGAGCGACGCCCUGCUGGUCCUGGAGGGUCUGGGGUCAGAGGAGGUGGGGGGACUCGCGGCAGAGUCCAGGGAUGCGGAGGACACAGAGAAAACAGAGCGGGUGGUGGGUGCAGGGAUGCCUGGGGGGGCGGGGACUGUGUUCUCCAGUGGGACUCUCAGCGGGCUGAUGCGGCAGGUGCACAGACUGGCAGAGGAGGCGGGAGUGUGCACAGAUCAGAGCUGCCGGUCCUCACUCGCCGUUCUCGGCGCCACCGUGUCCCUCCCCUCCUGCGUGGACCCCCAGCCCCUCAUCGGCAGCACCGCCACCCCCUGCCCGUACCUGCCUGUCCGCCCGCCACUGUCCCAGGCUGCUGCGGUGCUCCCCGACCCCCUCCCAUCCUCUGACCCUCGCUCUCGCCCACAGCAUCAGCACCAGUCGCGCUCCCAGCCCCAGAGCCGUGCCGCUACCCCCAAACUGGGUGUGGCUUCUGGGGCAGCGGGUCGGUCAGCCUCCCCUCUGGUGGUCCUGGAGGGGGAAGGGGGUGCAGGAGGAAGGGAGGGGGAGAAGAUGCCCCGGGGGAAGUCGAGGAAGGGGGGGUCACUGAAGGUCCGGCUCAGCAAGCUAUUCAGAACCAAGAGCUCGAGUGGCGGCUCGGGGGGGCUGCUGGACAAGAGGCCGUCCCUAGCGUCGUCCACGUCGUCGGGGGGCAGCCUGUUGGACGUGUGGGGGUCCACCUGCAGCAACCCAGACCAGGAUGGCAGGCUGCAGGUAUCCAGACCUCACAGUGCCUUCUCUCCGGUGCCCUUCACUCCGGCUUUCACCGGUGAGACGGUCUCUCUGGUCGAUGUGGAUAUUUCUCGGAGGGGGGGGAACUCUCUCCACCCCCCCACUCCUCCUCCCCCUCCCAGACGGAGCCUCAGUCUGCUUGAUGAUUUUGGGGGUCCUCCUCAGCAGCACGGCCCCUUCAUGGAGCGCAGCGCCGGGGCCUCCAUGCAGUCGCUGCCCCCCCGACCGAUGGCCCUGCCCCCCUCCCUCAACACCAUCCAGCACAGCCUGAGCCUCAACGACACCUUCCUGCGAGGUUUACCUCGACCCGUCCCCCUGCGGCCCGACGGGCAGCACCCGCCCCCCGGCUCGCCCCUCGCUGCCCGCUCAGUCGACCCGAUGCCGGCAACUUCGCCACCAGCCUCAGGGAGCUGGAGAAGUGCGGCUGGUACUGGGGGCCGAUGAACUGGGAGGACGCUGAGAUGAAGCUGAAGGGGAAACCGGACGGCUCGUUUCUGGUGCGGGACAGCUCAGACCCGCGCUACAUCCUGAGUCUGAGCUUCAGGUCGCAGGGAAUCACACACCACACACGCAUGGAGCACUACAGAGGGACGUUCAGCCUGUGGUGUCACCCAAAGUUUGAGGACCGCUGUCACUCGGUGGUGGAGUUCAUCGAGCGAGCCAUCAUGCACUCCAAGAACGGAAAGUUCCUGUACUUCCUGCGCUCGCGAGUCCCAGGUCUGCCGCCGACCCCAGUCCAGCUCCUGUACCCGGUCUCCAGGUUCAGCAGUGUUAAGUCUCUGCAGCAUCUCUGUCGCUUCUGCAUCAGACAGCUGGUCCGGAUCGACCACAUCCAGGAGCUGCCGCUGCCCACGCCUCUGAUCGCCUACCUGAGGAAGUUUUAUUACUACGACCCCGAAGAGGAGAUCAGCCCCACGCUGAAGGAGGACAAGGAGCAGAAGGAGCGGGGGACGGAGGGCGGCGGCCAGCCGGGGGUCGAGUCACAAACGUAGCACCGGAGCCCGAAGCCGGCUUCUUUCCUUUUCUUUGUUUCUCGGACUCGAACACUGAAGGAUGUUCAAAAAUCAAGCUGAACUCUCAGACUUCAGCCAAUCGGCUCCCUCCGCUCAGUCCCGCAUCCGGGCGGGUUUCAGAUGAUCCACCCUCCUUUGAGCUCUCUGAUCGGCUCACGGGGAGUCGACAGGGGAGGGGCCGGGGAUGUGGAGACUCCGCCUCUCUUUUGAUGUCAUCGCUGAGCAGCCAGACGGCGAUGUUAGCUAAAAUCAGUAAAAGAGAAAGGAGCUGAGAAAGUGUCGGUCGCCUCUGGGGUCCUCUGACGAUACGAGAGGGUCUCUGAUCCCGAGAGCAGAAGGCGGUACAGAUUUAUCCCAGCUCAGAGCUCGGCGCAGCACAAAGUGUGAGAGCGUCCCCUGAAUGCACCAAAAGGUCUUUAAAUGAAUAAAACAUCACAGAAAUAAACGAAUGAUUGUACGGAGCCCCGCAGGGGACAUGGAGGAAGAAAAAAAUUAAGACGGACUUUUGCGGGACCUCGCAAAA